UCUCCUGAAGGAACGUUAAAGACGAUGACGUUGAUAGGCCGGGUGUGUAAGCGCAGCGAUGCGUUGAGCUAACCGGUACUAAUGAACCGUGAGGCUUAACCUUACAACGCCGAAG
rnacentral:rRNA from 4 species